rnacentral:rRNA from 1 species
UAAAUUGAGAGUUUGAUCCUGGCUCAGGAUGAACGCUGGCGGCGUGCCUAAUACAUGCAAGUCGAACGGACUGUGGUGAUUAUGAUUGAAGAGCUUGCUCGGAGAGAUUAAUCACAAUGCAGUCAGUGGCGAACGGGUGAGUAACACGUGGGAAACCUACCUCUUAGCAGGGGAUAACAUUUGGAAACAGAUGCUAAUACCGUAUAACAAUUAGAACCGCAUGGUUCAAGUUUAAAAGAUGGUUCUGCUAUCACUAAGAGAUGGUCCCGCGGCGUAUUAGCUAGAUGGUGAGGUAAUGGCUCACCAUGGCAAUGAUACGUAGCCGAGUUGAGAGACUGGAUCGGCCACAUUGGACUGAGACACGGCCCAAACUCCUACGGAGGCAGCAGUAGGGAAUCUUCCACAAUGGACGAAAGUCUGAUGGAGCAACGCCGCGUGUGUGAUGAAGGCUUUCGGGUCGUAAAACACUGUUAUAAGAGAAGAACGUCAGUGAGAGUAACUGUUCAUUGAGUGACGGUAUCUUAUCAGAAAGGGACGGCUAAAUACGUGCCAGCAGCCGCGGUAAUACGUAUGUCCCAAGCGUUAUCCGGAUUUAUUGGGCGUAAAGCGAGCGCAGGCGGUUAUUUAAGUCUGAUGUGAAAGCCUACGGCUCAACCGUAGAAUUGCAUCGGAAACUGGAUAACUUGAGUGCAGUAGAGGAGAGUGGAACUCCAUGUGUAGCGGUGAAAUGCGUAGAUAUAUGGAAGAACACCAGUGGCGAAGGCGGCUCUCUGGACUGUAACUGACGCUGAGGCUCGAAAGUGUGGGUAGCAAACGGGAUUAGAUACCCCGGUCACACGUAAACGAUGAAUGCUAGUUGUUUAGAGGGGUUUCCGCCCUUAGUGACGUAGCUAACGCAUUAAAGCAUUCCGCCUGGGGAGUACGACCGCAAGGUUGAAAACUCAAAGGAAUUGAACGGGCCCGCACAAGCGGUGGAGCAUGUGGUUUAAUUCGAAGCAACGCGAAGAACCUUACCAGGUCUUGACAUCCCUUGACACUCCUAGAGAUAGGACGUUCCCUUCGGGGACAAGGUGACAGGUGGUGCAUGGUUGUCGUCAGCUCGUGUCGUGAGAUGUUGGGUUAAGUCCCGCAACGAGCGCAACCCUUAUUACUAGUUGCCAGCAUUAAGUUGGGCACUCUAGUGAGACUGCCGGUGACAAACCGGAGGAAGGUGGGGAUGACGUCAAAUCAUCAUGCCCCUUAUGACCUGGGCUACACACGUGCUACAAUGGAUGGUACAACGAGUCGCAAAGUCGCGAGGCUAAGCUAAUCUCUUAAAGCCAUUCUCAGUUCGGAUUGUAGUCUGCAACUCGACUACAUGAAGUCGGAAUCGCUAGUAAUCGCGGAUCAGCACGCCGCGGUGAAUACGUUCCCGGGCCUUGUACACACCGCCCGUCACACCAUGAGAGUUUGUAACACCCAAAGUCGGUGGGGUAACCUUCGGGAGCCAGCCGCCUAAGGUGGGAUAGAUGAUUAGGGUGAAGUCGUAACAAGGUAGCCGUAGGAGAACCUGCGGCUGGAUCACCUCCUUUCUAAGGA